rnacentral:rRNA from 1 species
CGAACGCUGGCGGCAUGCCUAACACAUGCAAGUCGAACGGUAACGGGGGCUUCGGCCCGCCGACGAGUGGCGCACGGGUGAGUAACGCGUGGAUACCUGUCCAGGUAUGGGGGACAACAGUUGGAAACGACUGCUAAUACCGCAUACGCCCUGAGGGGGAAAGACUUCGGUCGUGCUUGGAGGGGUCCGCGUCGGAUUAGCUAGUUGGUGGGGUAAAGGCCUACCAAGGCGACGAUCCGUAGCUGGUCUGAGAAGAUGAUCAGCCACACUGGGACUGAGACACGGCCCAG